rnacentral:rRNA from 2 species
AGACCCGAAACCCGGUGAUCUAGCCAUGGGCAGGUUGAAGGUUGGGUAACACUAACUGGAGGACCGAACCGACUAAUGUUGAAAAAUUAGCGGAUGACCUGUGGCUGGGGGUGAAAGGCCAAUCAAACCGGGAGAUAGCUGGUUCUCCCCGAAAGCUAUUUAGGUAGCGCCUCGUGAAUUCAUCUCCGGGGGUAGAGCACUGUUUCGGCUAGGGGGCCAUCCCGGCUUACCAACCCGAUGCAAACUGCGAAUACCGGAGAAUGUUAUCACGGGAGACACACGGCGGGUGCUAACGUCCGUCGUGAAGAGGGAAACAACCCAGACCGCCAGCUAAGGUCCCAAAGUCAUGGUUAAGUGGGAAACGAUGUGGGAAGGCCCAGACAGCCAGGAUGUUGGCUUAGAAGCAGCCAUCAUUUAAAGAAAGCGUAAUAGCUCACUGGUCGAGUCGGCCUGCGCGGAAGAUGUAACGGGGCUAAACCAUGCACCGAAGCUGCGGCAGCGAACGUAUCA